UACGUAGGGUCCAAGCGUUAAUCGGAAUUAUUGGGCGUAAAGCGCGCGCAGGCGGCCUCUUAAGUCUGAUGUGAAAUCUUGCGGCUCAACCGCAAGCGGCCAUUGGAAACUGGGGGGCUUGAGUACAGAAGAGGAGAGUGGAAUUCCACGUGUAGCGGUGAAAUGCGUAGAUAUGUGGAGGAACACCAGUGGCGAAGGCGACUCUCUGGUCUGUAACUGACGCUGAGGCGCGAAAGCGUGGGGAGCAAACAGG
rnacentral:rRNA from 1 species